rnacentral:rRNA from 1 species
UGGGGAAUCUUGCACAAUGGAGGCAACUCUGAUGCAGCGACGCCGCGUGAGCGAUGAAGCCCCUCGGGGUGUAAAGCUCUUUCGGCAGGGACGAUAAUGACGGUACCUGAAGAAGAAGCUGCGGCUAACUACGUGCCAGCAGCCGCGGUAAUACGUAGGCAGCGAGCGUUGUUCGGAAUUACUGGGCGUAAAGAGUGUGUAGGCGGUGCUCUAAGUUCGGUGUGAAAUCUCUCGGCUUAACUGGGAGGGUGCGCCGGAAACUGGAGUGCUCGAACGUGGGAGAGGAAAGCGGAAUUCCUGGUGUAGCGGUGAAAUGCGUAGAUAUCAGGAGGAACACCUGCGGUGUAGACGGCUUUCUGGACCAUUGUUGACGCUGAGACACGAAAGCGUGGGUAGCAAACA